rnacentral:lncRNA from 1 species
UGCCUUUAUUACUAGUUGAAAGUUUAAAAUACAAUCUGAUUAAAUUAUUACUUUUUAGCUUCAGUUUCAAGAGAUUGAGCAGAGUUUCUCGAUACUAAUUACUCUUAAAAUCAACGAUUUGUGCCUGGCAUAUAGUGCCCUCUCAAGAAAAGAACAUUAAAUCAAUAAGUGAGUACAUCAGUAAUAAAUCUCCAACAUGAACAUGUAAUAUACUCUUCACUAUAUAAACAUACUCUCAAAGGCUAAUGAGGUAGGUACCAGAACAAUGGUGUACCACAGAGGGCUUUUUUAAAUUAAUUAAUUAAUUUCAUUAUUGGUUUGACUUUCUGUGUCUCGUUUCUUAUUUGGUAGAGUGCAAGUUAUCUUUUUUUUAAAAGUUGAUAUUAGGAAAUUUUCUCUUAAGAGUGGAACUAAUUUACAUGACUUUGGAAAUACUGUUGUCACACUUUUAUGAGGAGUUAAAAUGUUCUACAUAAAGCAAACUUAGAGUGGCUGUUUGACUAUUUAGAAGUUCUUCCCUGAUCUUAUAUUUUUGUCUGAAUAUUUUAGAUUGCCAAAUUAAUGCUAUAUUUGUUAGUGAGAUUUGAUGAAGCAUUAGUGGUUAAAGGUAAAUAUGUAAUAUAUGCUUCAUUUAGGAAGCUCUGAAUUAUUAAAAAGGCCAAAUAUUAGUAGUGAUAGUUGCAGUCAUCUGUUCUUCAUUCCUCCUGCACAAUUUCAUUAGUAGAUAAGGCUAUUUUGUGCUCUUGAUAUAGUAAAAUUACUCACUCUUUCCAAAUGCCAGAGAUAGGGAUUUAAAAAUAAUUAACAUGAAAAACUGAAAAUAAUGAAUCUUUGUUUUGUUUCAACUACAAAGACAAUCAUUUAAUAGUUUAUAUAUAGAUUUCUUUACUUCUUGUAAGUAAUGGUAGAUGCCUGUACACAUCAGAAUGUUGGCUCACCAGAUAGGCUAGGUUUGCUGAAUUUAUGUGUCAUUGCUGAUCCAUCUGAAAUACAAGCCACCAUAUGUCAGUUUACUUAUUGAAGCUGGAAAAGAAUCCAUUAUAGAAAAUAAUUUUAGAUAUACAAUCAUGUCAUCUGCAAACAGGGACAAUUUGACUUCCUCUUUUCCUAAUUGAAUACCCUUUAUUUCCUUCUCCUGCCUAAUUGCCCUGGCCAGAACUUCCAACCCCGUCGUCUCAGCCCAAAAUCUCCUUAAGCUGAUAAGCAACUUCAGCAAAGUCUCAGGAUACAAAAUCAAUGUGCAAAAAUCACAAGCAUUCUUAUACACCAAUAACAGACAAAGAAAGAGCCAAAUCAUGAGUGAACUCCCAUUCACAAUUGCUUCAAAGAGAAUAAAAUACCUAGGAAUCCAACUUACAAGGGAUGUGAAGGACCUCUU